rnacentral:piRNA from 1 species
UCCCAAGCACAGGUGGCAUAUCUAAAAAU